AGUAACUGCUGUCUGUGCUGUCGGCUAGUCUGCGGGCGGAGCUGAUCCGCCCACAUCCUUUUUAGGAAAAGCAGACGUCGAGUUAACGAUAAAAUUGCACUGUUACCUAAUAAGCUGUCCGACUGACUGUGCCAUUGAGUGCUGGUAACUUGGAAUAAACAAAACUGCUAGAAUUGUUGCUUUGCGUGAAAAGACCGGAAGGUCAGAUUGGAAGGCAUCUGCCUGGCCAUGGUGAGUGUGAGUGUGGUGAACACUCCUAUCGGCACGUUUGGAACCGCGACCGUGUCUCGUUCUCGGUAUCUGUGAGUCCCUCCCAGCUCCUGCAGGCCCUGAAGGACAUGGAGGAGGUCCGGAGGUGCAUGUUUGCUCUGCGAUUAGCUGCAGCAGACGUCACUUUCUGCUGGCGAGGAUGCACUUCAACAAAGGAAAUGAAGGAAGAUACAGAUAAGGAAGGAAGUCUUUCCUUAUUAAAGUUGAUAUACUCCCAA